AAAUUGAAGAGUUUGAUCAUGGCUCAGAUUGAACGCUGGCGGCAGGCCUAACACAUGCAAGUCGAGCGGAAACGAGUUAUCUGAACCUUCGGGGAACGAUAACGGCGUCGAGCGGCGGACGGGUGAGUAAUGCCUAGGAAAUUGCCCUGAUGUGGGGGAUAACCAUUGGAAACGAUGGCUAAUACCGCAUGAUGCCUAUGGGCCAA
rnacentral:rRNA from 1 species